AUGUUAGGUUCGGGCAAGGCUUCGCCUUCGUUCUUGGUUUCCGCCACCCCGCUUCCGGCCGAGGGCAAUCGAGACGGCUGCGCUCGGAGGGACGGCGCCGUGGACGAGCGAGGGCUCCCAGAGUGGCAGUGCUGACGGUUGGUGACAGCGCGUGAAGGUGGCGCAGAAUGGCCGGGAAGAGGCCAUCGGGCUCGGGCAAGCAGCGCUGGCUGCUGGGGCUGCUGGUGGCCGUCGCUGCCGCCCACCUCGUCGUCUGUCCCUAUGCCAAGGUGGAGGAGAGCUUCAGCCUGCAAGCUGUGCAUGACCUGCUGUACCACCGGCUGGACAUGGAGAAGUACGACCACCUGGAGUUCCCUGGCGUGGUCCCCAGGACGUUCCUCGGGCCGCUGGUGAUCGCGGUGCUGUCCGGCCCUGCGGUCUAUGUGCUCUCAUUGCUAGAAGUGUCCAAGUUCUACUCUCAGCUGACAGUCAGAGCAGUCCUUGGGCUCUGUGUGAUUUGGGGGCUCUGGACUUUACAAAAAGAGGUGAGACGGCACUUUGGGGCCACGGCGGCCACCAUGUUCUGCUGGAUGACGGCCACGCAGUUCCAUCUGAUGUUCUAUUGCACACGGACGCUCCCCAACGUGCUGGCCCUGCCCGUGGUGCUGCUGGCCCUCACGGCCUGGCUGCGGCAGAGCUGGGCCCGCUUCCUCCGGCUGUCGGCACUGGCCAUCCUCGUCUUCAGAGCCGAGCUGAGCCUGCUCCUGGGCCUCGUGCUGCUGCUGCUCUUGGCCACCCGGCGGCUGUCUGUGGCCCGGGCCCUGCGGUGCGCCGUGCCGGCCGGUGUGCUCUGCCUCGGACUGACGGUCGCUGUAGACUCCUACUUUUGGCGCUAUCUCGUGUGGCCCGAAGGAACGGUGCUGUGGUACAACACCAUCCAGAACAAAAGUUCCAACUGGGGAACCUCGCCCCUGCUCUGGUACUUCUACUCGGCCCUGCCCCGUGGCCUGGGCUGCAGCCUGCUCUUCAUCCCGCUGGGCCUGGGGGACAGGAGGGCCCGGGUGCUGCUGCUGCCGGCUCUGGGCUUCGUGGGCCUGUACUCGCUGCUGCCUCACAAGGAGCUGCGUUUCGUCCUUUACGCCUUCCCCCUGCUCAAUGCCGUGGCUGCCCGGGGCUGUGCCCACCUGCUGAACAAUUCCCGGAAGUCUUGGCUGUAUAGAGCAGGGUCCCUGCUUGUGAUGGGGCACCUCCUGGUGAAUGCCGCGUACUCAGCCACUGCCCUGUAUGUGUCCCACUUCAACUACCCCGGUGGCGUGGCCAUGCAGAGGCUGCACGAGCUGGUGGCCCCCCGGACAGACGUUAUUCUGCACAUCGACGCAGCGGCUGCUCAGACAGGUGUGUCUCGGUUCUUGGAAGUGAACGGGGCCUGGAGGUACGAGAAGAGGGAGGACGUGCAGCCCGGGUCAGAGCACAUGCUGGCCUACACGCACCUGCUCAUGGAGGCGGCCCCCGGGCACCUGGCCCUCUACAGGGACACACACCGGGUGCUGGCCAGCGUCGCGGGCACCACUGGGGUGAGUCUGAACUUGACCAGGCUGCCUCCCUUCAACGUCAACAUGCAGACCAAGCUGGUGCUUCUGGAGAGACUCCGCAGGCCUUCCUGAUCAGGAGCAGCCGUCUGCCAAGAACGAGGGACAAUGCGGACCAGUGGCAGUACCACCCAGGAGGCCUGAGGCGCAGGCGGGCCCACCGACAGCCACUCGGCGGGCGGCAGCCCACCCUGUUUGCCCCACCCUGUUUGCCACCGGCGCACCGCUGGGAACAUCGGCCCCCGCCUGCAUUCCAAGCUGCAAGCUAUGGUUUUAGAAUGUUCCUGUUUGUGGCUGUCGUGUCUGCUGACAUUCUCCACCUUCUUACCAUUUCCUGGAGUGUGCUAGUCAGCGUCCGUGUCUGAACAAUGACUUUGGGUCACCCGUGUCUGUCUCUGUCGUCCCUUCUCCUCUUGCAGUCUUUGGUCCUAUUUUUCUUACGAAAAGUCAAACUGCAUGUAAGUAAAGUUAGAGAAGCUCAGGACCUUUCCACAGAAAGAUUUUCCUCUGGGCAGAAAGGUGCAGGAGGGCAGUCCAUUGCGAUGCACCUGAGGCUGCGCUUUGUCACGGCUGGUCUAUCUCGUUGCCCUUCAUGGAUCUCCCCAGAGAGCCGGGGUCCUCUCGCUGGCAGGCACUGAAGUCCGUGUUGCUCCCUGCCCAGGGUGCCUGCUGAGCUGCUCAGCCGCUCGCCCUGCCCCGUCUUGAGGCGCCCUCUUCCUGGAGUCCUUGUUGGCAUCACGGGACAUCUCCAGAGUGCAGUGCUCACCCCUCCUGUCCCGUCCGCAGCCACCCCCGAAAGCCAGAACUGCUGGAUGCGGACGCCCCCACGUCCUCUGCAGCCCGCAGCUGGCUGAACCAGGGCUGCACGGCACCUCCCGGGACUGCACUGCCAGGGGCGGCACCAAGCUGGCGAGUGCAGGUGACAGGGACAGCAGCAGAGCUCUGGGAGGGAAGGGUCCACACUGUUGUCCCCCAGCUCAUUGUCGUUGUGACAACCACCCCUCCCCUGCCGUGGAAACCUGUCUAAGUCGAAUCUUUGAAGCAUGUACACAGAGAAAGAAGCAGGAAAGUAUUGACAUUCCCAGCUUGAGCCGGGUGACAGCGACACAUGGGUGAGCAGAGCCGUGUGGCCCUGGCUCCUGACCCGUCCUCACUGGCUGCCCCAGCUCAUGACCGGUGAACUGGAGGCGGAAGGGAGCUGUUUACAGACCCAAACGACUCAGUCUUGGGCAAGCACCAGGCGCACAGGUGCACGGAGCCUUCAAGAAAGUGUCCCGUGUGAGUCCAGCCAGACACUCAGGUGAGCGCCCCAGGCCCCCAGCCAGGAGGCCGGCCACGGCCUCGCCCCGCCGGCUCUCGUGAGGCCGCGCACCACUGGACCCAGAUAAGAGAGCUGGGGGACUCUGCCUUCAGGAAAGCCAUGAGCCCCGACAUGGCAACUUGACAGCACCUGUUCUGGACUCUGGACUCACUGCCUGGACGUGGGUAGAGCCUGGACACGGCUGAAGGCCGAACCCAGGCUGGUGAGACAUCCACGUGGCGCCGCCUUGAGCGCUCAGGAGGGACACUUGCAGGUCAGCAAGGGUCACUCGUGUGACCCCGGUCGCCGCUCCCUGGGCAUCCAGAACAAGGCUGGUCUCAGGAAUGUGUGCACUGCCACCCAGGCGAGAGGCUACAUAGCCAAGGCGACCGCCAGGCUGCCUGCCAGGCUCUUCCGUUCGGGCCCCACACAGAACGUUCUCGGCACUGUCAGCACCAUCAUCAACGCUGAGAGCUGUCACCACCUCCUGUGUCCUACCCAGGGCUGAGGCUGCACGCGUGUGGUUUCUGUGUCUACUGGCCCCCAGGGGAUGACUUCU